rnacentral:rRNA from 1 species
GACGAACGCUGGCGGCGUGCUUAACACAUGCAAGUCGAACGGAAAGGCCCUGCUUUUGUGGGGUGCUCGAGUGGCGAACGGGUGAGUAACACGUGAGUAGCCUGCCCUUGACUUUGGGAUAACUUCAGGAAACUGGGGCUAAUACCGGAUAGGAGCUCCUGCUGCAUGGUGGGGGUUGGAAAGUUUCGGCGGUUGGGGAUGGACUCGCGGCUUAUCAGCUUGUUGGUGGGGUAGUGGCUUACCAAGGCUUUGACGGGUAGCCGGCCUGAGAGGGUGACCGGCCACAUUGGGACUGAGAUACGGCCCAGACUCCUACGGGAGGCAGCAGUGGGGAAUAUUGCACAAUGGGCGGAAGCCUGAUGCAGCAACGCCGCGUGCGGGAUGACGGCCUUCGGGUUGUAAACCGCUUUCGCCUGUGACGAAGUGAGUGACGGUAAUGGGUAAAGAAGCACCGGCUAACUACGUG